UACGUAGGGGACAAGCGUUAUCCGGAUUUAUUGGGCGUAAAGCGCACGCAGGCGGCUCUUCAAGUCUGACGUGAAAUCUCUCGGCUUAACCGGGAGCGGUCGUUGGAAACUGAAGGGCUUGAGGCGAUGAGAGGGGUGUGGAAUUCCCGGUGUAGUGGUGGAAUGCGUAGAUAUCGGGAGGAACAUCAGUGGCGAAAGCGGCACCCUGGCAUUAGCCUGACGCUCAUGUGCGAAAGCGUGGGGAGCAAACGGG
rnacentral:rRNA from 1 species